UGGGGAAUAUUGGACAAUGGGCGAAAGCCUGAUCCAGCCAUGCCGCGUGUGUGAAGAAGGUCUUCGGAUUGUAAAGCACUUUAAGUUGGGAGGAAGGGCAUUAACCUAAUACGUUAGUGUUUUGACGUUACCGACAGAAUAAGCACCGGCUAACUCUGUGCCAGCAGCCGCGGUAAUACAGAGGGUGCAAGCGUUAAUCGGAAUUACUGGGCGUAAAGCGCGCGUAGGUGGUUUGUUAAGUUGGAUGUGAAAGCCCCGGGCUCAACCUGGGAACUGCAUCCAAAACUGGCAAGCUAGAGUACGGUAGAGGGUGGUGGAAUUUCCUGUGUAGCGGUGGAAUGCGUAGAUAUAGGAAGGAACACCAGUGGCGAAGGCGACCACCUGGACUGAUACUGACACUGAGGUGCGAAAGCGUGGGGAGCAAACA
rnacentral:rRNA from 1 species